CAUUCGAUUGGAAACCACAGCCAGCCUCGCUUCUUCUUUGCGCUCCUCGUAGCCUUUUAGCUUUUUUGUUUAAAGUCGUCGUCGGUAUUUCGCAUCAGCAGCAAAAACCCUUGCUGCCCAUUCAUUUUGGCUCCCAACGUGGGGCUUAUAAAGUCAAUUCGUUUUUUUUUCCUUUCUUUUUAUUUUUCGUUGCGACUGGCUGUGAUUAUUUAUUUGAAUUGGAUAAAUUUUUGAUGUCUGCGCGCUAAGCCGUUGCGCUGCCUACGUGGUACAUACAUUUUAACGUUGGAUUAGAAGGCUCAUCUGACAGCAGGAAGAUCUGGGAUUCGCAUUGGGAGAACGGACGGACACACGGAAAUUACAAUAAAAAUUCCGUUUUUAAUAAUUGGCACUAAAUAAUUAUUUGAAUUGCCGUCGACAGAUCACCAGCGCACAGUUUUUCAGCGCAUCAAAUUAAUAUACAUAAUUGUACGAUACACAAGUAAAUCUAUAAACAUAUGUAUGUACAACCAUACGAAUUUAAA